GAGGGUAUAGCUCAGUGGUAGAGUAUGUGCUUAUCAUGCAUGAGGUCCUGGCUUCAAACUCUACUACCUCUA
rnacentral:tRNA from 1 species